AUUGAACGCUGGCGGCAUGCUUUACACAUGCAAGUCGAACGGUAACAGGCCGCGAUUUGCUGUCGAGUGGCAGCCGGGUGCGUAAUGCAACCGCACGUGCCCCGUCGCUGGGAGUAUGUACUCGAUAGAGUAACUCAUACCUCAUACGAGCUAUGGUAGUAAGCGGGGUACCUUAAGGGUUCGCGCGGUUGUAGCGGUCGCUGUCAGAUUAGCUAGUUGGUCAGGUAAAGGCUCACCAAGCCAACGAUCUGUAGCCGGUCUGAGAGUACAACCCGCCACACUGGAACUGAGACACGGCCCAGACUCCUACGGGAGGCAGCAGUGGGGAAUCUUGCGCAAUGGGCGCAAGCCUGAUCCAGCAAUGCCGCGUGAGGGAAGAAGGUCUUCGGAUCGUAAACUGCUUUUGUAAGGAACGAAACAGUUUGGGAUAAAACCCGGGGGUAUUGACGGUACCGUAAGAAAAAGCCCCGGCUAACUACGUG
rnacentral:rRNA from 1 species